rnacentral:lncRNA from 1 species
CUAGGACUGAUGGUUUGGUUAUCUAAACAAGCAAGUAUGUUUAUUUGGUUACCAAGGCAACUACUGUAGCUAUCUAGUAAACUUGCUAGCUACUUCAGUGGAUGUUGAACACAUUUCUGAUGGCAAAUGUGUUAAAUUAUAGCCAUGGUAUUAAAGGGAAAAUCAACUAUAAUCAACAGUGGGGCAGAGGGUAGCCUAGUUGUUAGAGCGUUGGACUGGUAACCAAAAAGUUGCAAGAUCGAAUCCCCGAGCUGACAAGGCCCACGUCUCCUCAUACUGCUACUCUGCCCUGGAUUCCCCACUCUACUGGAUUCCCCUCCGGACCUGCCUACCCUGUCCCAAACCCUCUCGCUCCAGCCUCAGUCUCCACACCUGGUUUCCUGCAACCCGCCCAAGCUUCCCGUGGCCUGCACUCCACCUUCCCCCUGUGUUUCAAUAAAUACCUUGGUUACCUCAUCCCAGUCUCCUUGUCUGAGUCUGCUCUUGGGUUUCCCUGUUCCACUCCGUGUAACAGUUACUUCUGUGAACGUUAAUUAUCCUCCCUCCUCACAGAGACAAACGUGUAAAUAUCUUAAGCGGAAUUACAAGGCAAUAUUUCUUAAACUUAAACAAUUUCUCCAAACACAAAUGUAAGUGUUGAU